UACGGAGGGUGCAAGCGUUAAUCGGAAUUACUGGGCGUAAAGCGUGCGUAGACGGUUAUGUAAGUCGGGUGUGAAAGCCCCGGGCUCAACCCUGGGAAUGCCAUUCGAGACUGCAUAGCUAGGGUGCGGAAGAGGGAAGCGGAAUUUCCGGGUGUAGCGGUGAAAUGCGUAGAUAUCGGAAGGAACACCAGUGGCGAAAGCGGCUUCCUGGUCCAGCACCGACGUUCAGGCACGAA
rnacentral:rRNA from 1 species